AGAGUUUGAUCCUGGCUCAGGAUGAACGCUGGCGGCGUGCCUAACACAUGCAAGUCGAACGGACUUACAUUGAAGCCUAGCGAUAUGUAAGUUAGUGGCGGACGGGUGAGUAACGCGUGGGUAACCUGCCUUGUACUGGGGGACAACAGUUGGAAACGACUGCUAAUACCGCAUAAGCGCACAGCUUCGCAUGAAGCAGUGUGAAAAACUCCGGUGGUACAAGAUGGACCCGCGUCUGAUUAGCUGGUUGGUGAGGUAACGGCCCACCAAGGCGACGAUCAGUAGCCGGCCUGAGAGGGUGAACGGCCACAUUGGGACUGAGACACGGCCCAAACUCCUACGGGAGGCAGCAGUGGGGAAUAUUGCACAAUGGGGGAAACCCUGAUGCAGCGACGCCGCGUGGAGGAAGAAGGUCUUCGGAUUGUAAACUCCUGUUGUUGAGGAAGAUAAUGACGGUACUCGACAAGGAAGUGACGGCUAACUACGUGCCAGCAGCCGCGGUAAAACGUAGGUCACAAGCGUUGUCCGGAAUUACUGGGUGUAAAGGGAGCGCAGGCGGGAAGACAAGUUGGAAGUGAAAUCUAUGGGCUCAACCCAUAAACUGCUUUCAAAACUGUUUUUCUUGAGUAGUGCAGAGGUAGGCGGAAUUCCCGGUGUAGCGGUGGAAUGCGUAGAUAUCGGGAGGAACACCAGUGGCGAAGGCGGCCUACUGGGCACCAACUGACGCUGAGGCUCGAAAGUGUGGGUAGCAAACAGGAUUAGAUACCCUGGUAGUCCACACCGUAAACGAUGAUUACUAGGUGUUGGAGGAUUGACCCCUUCAGUGCCGCAGUUAACACAAUAAGUAAUCCACCUGGGGAGUACGACCGCAAGGUUGAAACUCAAAGGAAUUGACGGGGGCCCGCACAAGCGGUGGAUUAUGUGGUUUAAUUCGAAGCAACGCGAAGAACCUUACCAGGGCUUGACAUCCUACUAACGAAGUAGAGAUACAUCAGGUGCCCUUCGGGGAAAGUAGAGACAGGUGGUGCAUGGUUGUCGUCAGCUCGUGUCGUGAGAUGUUGGGUUAAGUCCCGCAACGAGCGCAACCCCUAUUGUUAGUUGCUACGCAAGAGCACUCUAGCGAGACUGCCGUUGACAAAACGGAGGAAGGUGGGGACGACGUCAAAUCAUCAUGCCCCUUAUGUCCUGGGCUACACACGUAAUACAAUGGCGGUCAACAGAGGGAUGCAAAGCCGUAAGGUGGAGCGAACCCCUAAAAGCCGUCCCAGUUCAGAUUGUGGGCUGCAACCCGCCCACAUGAAGUCGGAAUCGCUAGUAAUCGCGGAUCAGCAUGCCGCGGUGAAUACGUUCCCGGGCCUUGCACUCACCGCCCGUCA
rnacentral:rRNA from 1 species